UGCCAUGACAGCAGGUCCCACCCUGCCCAGGACCAUGCUUCCAGAAACUACUUUUGAGGCAUAUAUUUUGCCUGAGUUUUUAUUGAAAAGAAUGUAAAAUGAGAGCUUAUGUUAAUUUUAUAAUCAGAAUUAGGGAAAAAUGUGAGCCAAGUAUUAUGUGAGUGCUUUGUUGAUAAUUUUAUAUUCUUCCAUUUCAUUGGAUUUUUCUGUGCUCCAAAGGGACCAGAAGGUUACGCUUAGAGCUCUAAAUACCUGACAUCAUCUACUGGGAAAACUAAGGGAGGGCGUGUGUCAGGGGUGUUUCUGAGCAUCUUGCUCAGGGAGUCGCCAGAGGUUAGCACCGACUCUCACGGUGACUGCUUUAAUAUAGUAUAUCCUCAGCAAACACAGAGCUUGACUGGAGUCACAUGAAAAUUUUAAAUGUGAAGGGUAUUGAUUCAAAAAAUUUUAAAGGUAUAUUUGUUUAUUUGAAAGGCAAAGUUACAGAGAAGGAGAAAAUAUUCCAUCCUCUGGUUCACUCCCCAAGUGACCUCGAUGGUCAGUACUGGCCAGGCUGAAGCUAGGAGCCUGGAACUCCUUCCAGGACUCCCACGUGGGUGGCAGGGGUUCAGGUACAUGGACCAUUUUCUGCUUUCCCAGGUGCUUUAGCAGGGAGCUGCACUGGGAAGUGGAACAGCAGGAACCCGAACCAGUACUCGUCUGGGAUGCCUACAUUGCAGGAAGUGACUUAACCUGCUGAGUCACAGCUCUAGCUCCAAAGGACUAUUGGUUAUAAAAUACAAAUUUAUUUUUCCUUUUAAAGAUGUAUUUAUUUAUUUAUUGGAAAAGCAGAAUUAUAGGGAAGAGAGGGAGAGGGAGAGAAAGAUCUUGCAUCUGCUGGUUUACUCCCCAGAAUGCUGCAAUGGCUACAGGUAGGCCAAGCCAAAGCCAGGAGCUUCAUCCAGGUCUCCCACAUGGGUAGUAGUGGCCCAAGCACUUGGGCCAUCUUCUGUUGCUUUCCUAGGCACAAUAGCAGGAAGCUGGAUUGAACAUGGAGCAGUGGCCUAAUCCACUGUGCCACAAUGCUGGCCCCAUAAAAUACAAAUUUAAAUACUGACAAACAGACAUAAUUUAGAUUUUUAAAAAUUAUUCUAGAUUUACUCUCCAUUUAAAUUUUUUUGUGGACUCAUUAUUAUUCUAUUCCUAUCCAUAUUCUAUUCUGUUCUUCCAUCAGAAUUGAGACUGAGGUGUGGUGGAUCAUAGGCCUGUAAAGGUGUGCUUGCCAGAGGCUCUCCACAGAGAAAGCUCAGUGAGGGUAGAUGGGAAGGGGUAGGGGCCCUCUUAGAAAGCUCUCAGUCACUGCUUUCAUUGUGUUACUUCCUUCUUCCCAGACCCUCAGUUCCUGUACAUUGUCUGAAAGUUAAAAUGGAAACUUAGUCUUACUGUCAAAGCUAUCCUUGAUUUUUUUUAAAGAUUUAUUUUUGUAUUUGGAAGGCAGAGUUACAGAGAGGCAGAGGCAGAGAGAGAGGUCUUCCAUCUGCUGGUUCACUCCCCAAAUGGCUGCAAUGGCUGGAGUUGGGCUGAUCCGAAGCCAGGAGCUUCUUCCCGGUCUUCCACGUGGUUGCGGGGACCCAAGGACUUGGGCCAUCUUCUACUGCUUUCCCAGGCCAUAGCAGAGAGCUGCAUUGGAAGUGGAGCAGCUGGGACUCAAACCAGUGCCCUUAUGGGAUGCCAGCACUGCAGACAAUGGCCUUACCUGCUACACCAUAGCCGGCCCCAAAGCUAUCCUUUUUUUUUUUUUUUAAAGAUUUAUUUAUUUGAAAGAGUUAUACAGAGAGAGAGAGAGAGAGAGAGUGAGUUGUCUUCCAUCUGCUGGUUCACUCCCCAAUUGGCCGCAACGGCUGGAGCUGUGCUGAUCUGAAGCCAGCAGCCAGGAGCUUCUGGGUCUCGCACAGGGGUACAGGGGCCAAAGGACUUGGGCCAUCCUCCACUGUUUUCCCAGGCCGUAGCAGAGAGCUGGAUUGGAAGUGGAGCAGCCAGGACUUGAACUGGCACUCAAAUGGGAUGCCGGGACUGCAGGCAGCGGCUUUAUCUGGUACACCACAGUGCUGGCCCCCCAAAGCCAUCCUUAAUUUAAGAGCUGUCUUUUGCAGCAGGUUGUCAUUUUACUAUUGCCGUGCGUGGUUUCUUUCUUCCUGGAUUAUUCCUGUUCGCUUAGCUGAAUUCUCCCCCUCCUGGAAGACUCAGUUGAAGUUUGACUCCUUUAUGAAAGCUUUCUCAUUCUCUAGUCCACAGAGAAUGUUUCCUAUUCUGAGUUUACAAAGAUAUUCUUUCCUGGAAUAAUAAUUUGGUACUUAACUCAUAUUGUCUUUCAUUAUUAGCUUAUAUGAAUGCAUUUAAAAAACAUUUUAAACUCUUGGUGGGAAGGAGUGUGUAUUGGUUAUCCAUGCUACAUAACCAGAGGCCUCAGUUCCUGGCUACAUGGAUCUCUCCAUAGAGUACUCACUGCAGGAUGGACACCACAGUCUUGUACCACCUAGUCUCAGAAGUCACUGCACCACUUCCACUCUGUUCUGUUGUUCACACAGGGAUUGACCAAGGAUGUGACUACCAAGAGGUGAGGAUUACUGGGGACCACCCUAAACAGUUGUAGAUCAUCAUUGUCUGAAUCGAAUCUAAAUAGGUCAAAGGAAUAGGCCAAACUUUGUUAACUCAGUCCUCUCAAAGAGCUAUUUUUGUGCUGUUGUGAACUGCCAGCAGCUGUAGAUCUCAGUGUGGUCUCUGGGCCUCUGGGGAGGAGGGUGUCUAUGAGACCAUUUCGAGGACUCUCUGAGGUCAGAACUGGCUUUGUUUGUGUAGUUACUUAUUUUAUUUAAAAGGCAGAGAGAGAAAGAGAGACAGAGAUCUCCCAUUUACUGGUUUACUCCCCAAAUUUCGGCAACAGCCAGCAGCUGGGGACUCAGUCUGGUUUUCCCACAUGAGUGGCAGGGACCCAGGUAUUUAAGCCACCUGCUGCCCUCCCGGGUCAGGUGUGCACUGCUGCCCUCCCAGGUGUGCACUGCUGCCCGUCCCGGGUCAGGUGUGCACUGCUGCCCUCCCAGGUGUGCACUGCUGCCCGUCCCGGGUCAGGUGUGCACUGCUGCCCUCCCAGGUCAGGUGUGCACUGCUGCCCUCCCGGGUCAGGUGUGCACUGCUGCCCUCCCAGGUGUGCACUGCUGCCCUCCCAGGUGUGCACUGCUGCCCUCCCGGGUGUGCAUUGGUAGGAAGCUUGAAUUGGAAUAGAGCCAGCACUUCAACUCAGGUCCUGUGAUAUGGUAUGUUGGCAUUCCAAGUGGCAUCUUAACCACUAUGCCAAAUGCCCACCUGUUUAUUUGUUUUAAGCAGUGAAUAUGUGCAAGUGACUAGCACAGUUAUUCCUAUAAGUUUACUGCCACCACUUUGAUUCAUGCUAUAAUUCCAUCAUCUGUUUUUCCCAUCAUUGCUUUUGUACUGUCAGUGCCAAUAUCAACAUAAUAAGGAAGGCAAGUAGUAUUAUUCAAAAUAGUUUUGAAAAAAUCUAAAGUGUUCUCAGACCACACUUUGAGACUUGCUGGAAUUAACUGUAAAUGCAUCCUUACUGAAAAUACUUAAUGAUGUACUGGAAAGUCUAGUAUUUGUAGUUGAGGGAGGCCUAACUUCACUUAACCUAUAGAGACUUGGAGUCAGAGGUAGAGAUAAACUUUCUCCAUAUUUUUUUUUAUUUACUUACUUUUAAAAAAAUGUGUUUUGUCUAUCUGAAAGGCAGAAUGAGAGGGAGAGGCAGUGAGAGAGGUCUUUCACGCAUUCCUGGUUCUCUCCCCAGUGGCUGCAACAGCCAGGGCUGGGCCAGGCUGAAGCCCGGAGCCUGGAGCUCCAUUCAGGUCUCCCAAGUGGGUGACAGGAGCCCAAGGACUCGGGCCAUCUUCUGCUGCCUUCUCAAACACAUUAGCAGGGAGCUGGAUUAGAAGCAUAGUAACCAGGACUGGAACCAGCACUCUAUGGGAUGGCAGCUUAACCCAUCACGUCACACGUGCCGCCACCUCUACUCUCUCGUGUAUUUUUUCUUUUUUCUUUUUUUCUUUUUUUUUUUAAAGAUUUGUUUGUUUAAUCGAAAGGCAGAGUUACAGAGAGGCAGAGGCAGAGGUAGAGAGAGAGGUCUUCCAUCUAAUGGUUCACUCCCCAAAUGGCUGCAAUGGCUGCAACUGUGCCAAUCCAUAGCCAGGAGCCAGGAGCCGCCUCUGAGUCUCCUACAUGGGUUCAGGGGCCCAAGGACUUGGGCCAUCUUCCACUGCUUUUCCAGGUCAUAGCAGAGAGCUGGAUCUGAAGUGGAACAGCCGAGAUUCGAUGGGAUGCUGGCAUAUGGGAUGCUGGCACUGCAGACGGCAGCUUUACCUGCUACGCCACAGCACCAUUCUUGCUCACGUGUUUUUUCAAAUAAGUAUUACAACCUUCAGAGAGGAAAAUUUGAUGAAAUCUGGGUAAAACAGAAAUCAGAUUAGGAAGUAUUCAAGGAUGAACAAUUCUUGCCAGCAACAGCUCAGCUUUCUAAUGGAAAAGGAAAAUAUUUUUCACUUAACUAGAUUUUUUUUUUUUUUUUUGGUGGUAUACAAAUGAUGGUAUACAAAAAUUAGAAUGACUUAUUUGAAGGGGCAGUGGAAAGGAAUAAUACAGUAAGUAAGCUCAAAGAAGUUCAGAAGUUCGUGGGUUUGGGUACUUGCUUUUACCUCAGAGUUUUUUUCAGGAGCCAUCAUUGUGGUGUAGCAGGUUAGGCUGCCUCCUCAGAGGUUGGCAUCCCAUGUGAGUACCAGUUGGAGUCCUGGCUGUUCCACUUCUGACCCUGCUAUUGUACCUGGGAAGGUAGCAGAAAAUGGCCUAAGUAGUUGGACUCCUGCCAACCACAUGGGAAAUCUGGAUGGAGUUCCAGGUUCCUGGCUUUGGCCUGGUCCAGCACUGGCUGUUGCAGCCAUUGGAAUAGUGAACCAGCGGAUCAAAGAUGUCUCUGUCUCUCUCUCUUUCACUAAGUAACUGCCUUUCAAAUAAAUAAAAAAUCAUUUUAAAGGUGUUUUUUUUCAAUCUUUACUUGGAAUUCAACAAAAGCUGCCUUAAAUUUAAAAAGAAAGCCCGGGUGUCUCCUUGUCUCUGAUGUCUCUCUCAUUGUCUCUGACGUCUGUCUCAUUGUCUCCUUCCAUCUGUCGCUGCAGAACUGCUUCUGGCUUCCUGGCCCACUGAGAACUGUUAAGCAGGGGAAAGGGCAGUGUUCAAAAUAGACUGAAACAAGUAAUUCCUUCCUACGCUGUAUUUCUCUCUCGAUCUGGAUUUCCUUUCUUUUGGCUAAUUCAUGUUGAGCUUAAGAUCCACAAUAUUUUGCCUGUCUCACCAUAGAGAUACACGGACGUUUCAUAUUCUGUUCCCAAAAGUGUAACUCAAUAGGUCCUUCCAAUUUUCCUCUCUGGCUUAGUUAUCGUCGCUAUUAUCUUCUCAAUUACACAGGCUUGAAAUCCUGGAUUCAUCCUUGAUUCCUCUCCUCUGUAUUCAAGAGCCAAAUCCUGUGUUGAUUUCUGUUCUAUCUCUGUAAUUGUCUUCAUCCUUUUUCUUCCUUUUCUGGGUUCUCUGGUUUGUGACCCAAUCAUUGUGUCUAAUGAAUUAUCACAGUAUGCCUCUAAAUGGUCUUUGCCUUUCUUCUCUCUCCAUCUGAACCUCAAUCAGACCCUGUUGGCAGCUGUCUCUAAAACCGGGGACAGUGCCACCUGCUGGGAUGUUUGGGGAUGUGUGAGGUCGUUGUUGUCUCACCUGGAAAGCAUACAGUCCUUUGGUAGGCAAGGGCCAGCGAUGCUUAAUGUCCUGCAGUGAUUGGGACAGUCCUACCCACAGAGAAUUGUCCUGUCCAGAAUGACCAGCUGUCCCGUUGGGAAACAUGACAAGACUGGUACCAGAGCCAGCUUCCCAUUCUUUUACCAAAAAGCCUCAGCCUUUCUGCACCAAGUGUUUCCAGUCUACCUGGCUUUCAGCCCCGGUUUACCUUCCCAGGGUGACUCACUGUCGCCUCCUUGCGCAACCAGUCUUUAGCCACAUGAGCCUUCUCAUUGUGUUUUGAACUUCUUGGCUCUGUUGGGGAACUGUGAUUUCACCACUCUCCCUGCCUCCUUCCCCCUCCCUUUCCUUUGCAUCCCUGGAAUUUUUUCUGCUGCUUCUUUUAGCAAAAGUGUCCUCUAAAAUUCAUAUUCAAGACAAAGCCAAAAUCCACGUUCUUCAUAAACUGCUCUCAAAUCCCCCACCCAGAAAUGAAGCUCUUCUCUCCUUCAGCUUGCCCUCCCCUGUAUGCAGUUCAUGCAUGCCUGUUUGGAUCACUCUCUGUGUAAGGGAGGCUACAAACAAAACAGGAAAGGACUUUGGACUUGGGAAUCAAGUUCCUCAGCCCCUCUGACCCACAAUUUCUUUAUCUGUAAAAUGUGUAACAAAUUCUGUGUAUGCCACAGGGUUGCUGAGAAAUGUAUUUGAGGAAGCAUUGUAGAGUGUGUGUUAAGCUGUAAAAUGAAGGGGUAUUUUCUCCACGGGGUUGUUGUCUACUUGAGGAUAAGCAGAGUGUAUUUUUGACAUCCUUUGUAUCUUUUCAUAUCACUUGGUUCUUAGUUGACACGCAAUAAUUUUGUUAAUGAAUUUUGAUAUGUUUUGUGGACUGAAGUACAGCGGAGAUGUGUGCACUGCACCGUCUUUCCUGUGUAGAAGUCUGGAACUGGAAAGGCAGGGGGAAUAAAAGGCCACUCUUGGAUUUUUUGGUGAGUGCGUACAUGGCUAAUUAUACACGCCUUGAUUAAUGGAUGUUCUUUUCAGAUUGAUGUAGGGGUCCGCUGAGUCUCCAACAUAAUGCUUUCAAAAAUGUGUUACUGCUUAGGCUGCACGUGCGAUCAGGUAUUUCCAUAUACGUGCUGAUUGUGCUCCUGCAGGAGCCUGCAGGCCCAGGCUGGAUAACCACCCUUGCUUAUUCCAUAGUUAUGUAAUUACAGACCUUAUCAAAUCUGUUCUGGCUUGUAGGUAUGAGACACAUGACAGCAUAGUCUCGUUAAGUAUGGGAUAAAUGCCUCAGGACUUUUCCCUGGAGACAGUGGAGCAACAAAAGAGAAUUUAACAUCUGAAAAUGCAAAUAUUAGAGUGCUCUUCAUUCAGCGAGCAUUAAUUGAAUGUUCCACAUAGUGUGUGGAAAAUAGGAAACUGCUGGAAGAUCUUACACUUGAGAUGAUUGUAAUACAGAAGAGAAGCAUUCAGAACUGUGAAGAACUGCUGGCUCGCUGUAUAAUUAAAUUGCAGAUAUUUGACCUUUAUUUGAAUAGGGAUUAUUAGAUAUUAAUUUGAGAUAUGCUUGUAAUAGUUCAUGGAGCACUCAAGCCCAUUUCAGAAAACUUGAAGAGAUUUAACAGUUGGAAUAAACAUUCUUAAUAUUAUCACUUAGCACAGUAUUCAUACUGUACUAUGAACUAUUUUACAUAGCAUAUUCCAGUGGUCUGCAUGUUUUGAAAGGAAAAUAUUCUAUUUGGAGAACUUGGGCAAAAGGAAAUGACUACUUGAACACUAAGGAUUAGUUCUUAAUUUUUUCUGAAAGGCCCAUUUAAACAUGUUGGGUGUUCCCACUAAGAUCAACCUAUAAGUGUCUUAAAAAUAGGCAACAAACAGAGUUCACUAGGAUGCUUGUCAGUUGAGUGUAAUAUAUGUACUUGUUUCCUCAUUCCAUUAUAGUUGAGUUCUAAAUACAGCUGCCUACAUGGGCUCCCUUCCUCUCCCAUCGUUGCUGAUACUGACUCCUGGUCAUUGACAGUACAGUUGUGUAUGAAACUCAGUUCCAGUCCCAUUGGCUUUGCAUACUUGGGGCUAUGCCUUCCUCUUCCAGAAACCUUCGUUUGCUCAAAGUGAAGCAGGAAAAUGCUGGUUGCCCUGUUUUAGUGCAGGAUUAAAAUACAUGUGGUAAAGACCUGAAGGGGCUGAGCUGCUGGCUGCGUUUUCAGUCCAAAUAGAGAAGAUUGUUUGCUUCUUUGAAAAAUAAAGGCACUGUGUUCUCUUGCUACAUGAAGAAAGCUUUAGCUGCUAAGAGUUUAUCUCUGGGGCCGGCGCCGUGGCUCACUUGGUUAAUCCUCUGCCUGUGGCACCAACAUCCCACAUGGACACCAGUUGGAGUCGCAGCUUCUCCACUUCCAAUCCAGCUCUCUGCUGUGGCCCGGGAGGGCAGUGGAGGAUGGCCCAAGUGCUUGGGCCCCUGCACCCACAAGGGAGACCAGGAAAGAAGCACCUGGCUCCUGGCUUCGGGUCGGCACAGCUCCGGCUGUUGCGGCCAUUUGGGGGGCGAACCAACAGAAGGAAGACCUUUAUCUCUGUCUCUCCCUCUCACUGUCUGUAACUCUACCUGUCAAAUAAAUAAAUAAAAUCAUAAAAAAAAAAA